rnacentral:rRNA from 1 species
CCUACGGGAGGCAGCAGUGAGGAAUAUUGGUCAAUGGACGCAAGUCUGAACCAGCCAUGCCGCGUGCAGGAAGACGGCUCUAUGAGUUGUAAACUGCUUUUGUACGAGGGUAAACGCAGAUACGCGUAUCUGUCUGAAAGUAUCGUACGAAUAAGGAUCGGCUAACUCCGAGCCAGCAGCCGCGGUAAUACGGAGGAUUCAAGCGUUAUCCGGAUUUAGUGGGUUUAAAGGGUGCGUAGGCGGUCGGAUAAGUUAGAGGUGAAAUCCCGAGGCUCAACUUCGGAAUUGCCUUUGAUACUGUUCGGCUAGAGAGUAGUUGCGGUAGGCGGAAUGUAUGGUGUAGCGGUGAAAUGCUUAGAGAUCAUACAGAACACCGAUUGCGAAGGCAGCUUACCAAGCUACUUCUGACGUUGAGGCACGAAAGCGUGGGGAGCAAACAGGAUUAGAUACCCCGGUAGUC